rnacentral:lncRNA from 1 species
GUUUGUAAACCUCUAGAAGUCGGGGACCUAUUCUUUGAAAACAUUUUGUAAACUACGAAGUUCUUUCGAGAUCUUUCAUCUGUUCAUUCACAGACUUUUGUUAUGAUGUCUUUCAGCCAGUGCUCUGUCCAAGUUGAAGGAUACAACUCGCACCCUGUGACCUUGUAGAUGGUGAGAGAGAACAGUUAUCAAAAACUGCGGGGAGUUUAUCUCUGGUGUUGGACAGGACAGGGACACUGCUGCUGGGGCCAGGGCAAGCCAAUGGUUGACACAGAAACCCAAGGUGUCAGCAGCACCUCCCUGAACACAGAAGGAAACUUCAAAAGCAGGCAAAAGCAAGUGUCAUUGGAUAGGUUCCUUAUUAAAGUCACAUGGAAAGGACAAGAUUCCACUGAGCCAAUAGCUAUGAUUCUGGUAGUGAUAAUGAAAGUCAUCCUACACAAUAACCCUUCUCUGUUUCGCCUUCCUCACAUCAGCCAGGAAGGUUUUCAAAGACUACAGUCAUAGCCAGGCAUGUGGUACACUAAAAUCCCCAGCACUCAAGAGGCUGAGGCAGGAGGAUCAGAAGUUCAAGGCCAGCCUGGACUGCAAUGCACAGUGAGUUCAAGGCUGGCCUGGACAACAUAAUGAGGCCCUUACUGGAACCCAAUUUCAGGUAUGGCUUUCCCUCCACUUCCAGGCCCAUCACUCCAUCAGAGAUAAAAUUAAGUUUGCCUGGUAUAAUUUGCACUUCAAAAAAAUCACGUUGAUUACUACCCAGUACCUUGUGUUCUUCUAGGUGGUUGCAAAUUGAUUGUUUGAUGAUUUGUUCUUCUAUCUUCCCAGGUACCCAAGAUAAACUGAAGACUCUAUAAUUACUACAGUUGUCCUUUCCCUGUUAUAAAAAACAGGUUCUCCUGCUGCUGACUUUGCAUAUCAGGACUCUCUUCUGCCCAAUCUUUCUGCAUUUUGUAAAACAAAGGCUGGUGGUCUUGCAAUUACAUUUUCCAGGCCCUUGAGUGCUCUGGGAUGUGAGUAAUCAGGCCCUGCUGAUGUAAACGCACCCAGAUUUCUGAAGGGCUCUUCAAUCACCCCUUCCCUGUUUGCCUUUGCGCCUCCAACAGGAUAGCACUUAAUCUGUUUUAGUUUCCCUAUCACUGGAGUGGUGGCCCGCCUGGAAUCUCAGCACUGGGGAGGUGGAGGCAGAAGGAUCACCUCCAAUUUGAGGCCAGCUUGGGCCUCCAUAGUUCAAGGCUAGCCUGACCUACAUAGCAAGACCCUUGUUUGUCUAAGCCCAAAUGUUCUGUUUUAGUAACACGAAGGUAUCUGGAAUACCUGUAUUUUGAUUCUUAUAAGGGCUCACAGCUAAGAUUGUACCUUAAGUCUCAGAAAACACUUUGGACUUAGACUUUUUUUUGGGGGGUGGGG